UCACGUUUUAGAGCAGACUGGAAUUAAACACUUUUGCUAACUUCAAUAUUAUACACACAUUCUAUUUACAACCAAAGCUCCAGUUUCAAAGAGCUAAAAGCAGGUUUUUAUGUUCCAUUGUAAAUUUACAGAAAAUAACAUUAUUUUUACUCCUGCUCUUCAUGAGUCAAAUCCUGUAUUUUAAUUAUUUUCUUUUCCCAGCGUUGUUGCCAAGCUAAGGCGCCUCAGGUUUCAGUACUGAUUAGAUAUCAAACCUAUUUCUGCUAUCUACAGUCUUCACAAUACUCUGGUAACCGGUUGCAACCACGUAUUUCUGCAGUCAAGCCUCCAGCCGCUCUCAACAAACUCAUGGCUGCAGAUUUGAAAAUACUGUCCCUCAGUAGACUGGAGAAUGGUGCAUCUGUAUUUAAAAUCCUGCCCCUUAUACUACUUUUUCAAAAGACAAGGAUGAAACAUUAAGUAGCUCCGCCUCUGAGCUGCCAACACUUUCACCUUCAAGAUGACGUGGUCUAAAGACAAAAUACUUCUAUAAGCAGCCAGUACAUCUGUUAGAUCAUUUGUGUUCACCUUCAAGCACAUUAGCAAGAAUAUCUGACAUCUGAGGUGGGAGCCUGUAGGAACAAAUGUCACAAACAAGCCCUGUGUGUCCUCUUCUGGAGCUCAUGUUUUGCACUGGUUUCUGCCAGCAGAAUAAAGGAGUAUCUGAAAACAAGCUCAGUUAUAGGAAACUGAUCUGUAAGACCUGCUAGCACCAUUCUUACUGGUAUUUAGCUCUUUCAGUAAUUAAAGGAUAGUUGGUUGCCAUACAGGAGGAGCUGGGGGAUGGUUUGGUUUUGGGUUUUGUUUAUACAGUGAAAGGUUUAUUUAUGGAUUGAUAAAUACAAUAUCCAGUUUCACUGGGACAAUAAGGCACAACUGUAGGUUACAGCUAUAGCAUCAGAAGACAGCAACACCUACUUCUAAACAAAUCACAAAGCCUACAAGCACUUUUUACUUUUCAUUAUCACUGUUACAUUCCUAUUUUACAGGAGACAGUUAUAGAAGUCUAGUGUUUCUUUCUCUUACAGAGUAAAGGUUUUUAAUUUAUAUUUCUUUCUGGAACUGUGCUGCACUCUGCAAAACUAUAAAGUGCAACAUUUUACUUUUUAAUUUCUUUAUUUAAAACAAAUAAAAAAUCCUUCAGAGACUUGCAAGUUAUCCUUCAAUGAAAGUGAUCAUUAAAGCAACUGAGGAAAAAAAAGGAAAUGCACAUUUGACAAUAGUUUUGAGACUGGUAAGUAUUUAUAGAAACAUUAACACAUGUGUCAUUACAGAGAAACAGUUACAACACCGAUUCUUCCAUAAAGAAGCUCCUGGGGUUUUUUGGUUUUACUGGAAGGAUCUCCCAGAUUGUAGAAUGCUCCAGCUGAACUACACGAGAUCAUUUGUCAAUCUAGCCACAGAAAGUUGUUACUAUUUAACCUUCAAGGAUUCCAAUCUCUUGAACUUAUCAGCAUUACAUUAAUAGUAUUAAUCAUCUUACAUUUGCAAAAAGAUUUUUAUAGAAAUACAUUCUGAAAUAUCUGGGAUAAUAUGAUCUUUCCCAAUUUGUAUUCUUAUGCCAGAGCUUUCUUAAAUACAGCUACCAUUCUCAACACAAAUAUAACAGACCAGGACUUUCAUAUU